rnacentral:SRP_RNA from 1 species
AGCUGUAAUGGCUUUGGUAGAACUGUACGCUUCGAGAUUUUCGGCUUGGGUUCAAUCCUUACGGUCGGACGUAGGUUAGCGUGUCAUGCUUCGGUGUGACAAGGGGUUCCUGUGAAAGCAGGAAUUCUGCACUGCGCGUCGGUGCCAACCACUAUCCUCUCCCUGUUUCCAUUUGCGGAGGCGACUAGCCUAUUAGGUUACCUCUGGGGGAGGACCUGGAGUUAACGUGUCCCGGUACUUAUCGAUCUUUGCGGGUUUGCAGAGCCUAGGCACGAGAGAAGUCCGUGAUCUAGCCUGUGGCAACGUAGUAUGGGCUCUUUGUAGCCUCGUCCUCACAGCUGUAGGGGAGAUUCAUCCAGCACAGCAGGGGCGACCCGUGACGGAGGCGGUCGGGAUAGCACUAGUUCUCCGGGUAUUAGUGCAGUGUGGGCUCGCUUGUCGGGUAACAUUUGGUGGUGGCACUGAUAAUUGCUCCUUUGUUAAGCCUCUGGUUCUCCAGUGGGGAGCGUAUUGAACUACUUUU